GACGAACGCUGGCGGCGUGCUUAACACAUGCAAGUCGAACGAAGUGGCGAACGGGUGAGUAACGCGUAAUCAACCUGCCCUUCAGAGGGGGACAACAGUUGGAAACGACUGCUAAUACCGCAUACUGAAGGAGGGGAUUGCGUCUGAUUAGCUAGUUGGGGGGGUAACGGCCCACCAAGGCGAUGAUCAGUAGCCGGUCUGGGCGGAUGAACCGCCAAAUUGGGGACGGGAACCGGGCCAGACUGCUACGGGAGGCAGCAGUGGGGAAUCUUCCGCAAUGGACGAAAGUCUGACGGAGGAACGCCGCGGGGGUGGUGACGGCCUUCGGGUUGUAAAGCUCUGUUAGUCGGGACGCGGUACCGGAAUAGAAAGCCACGGCUAACUACGUGCCAGCAGCCGCGGUAAUAC
rnacentral:rRNA from 1 species